rnacentral:misc_RNA from 1 species
AGUGUCCAACCAUGCAGCGGUUUCUCUGGAAAAUGGACCGAGCAUGCACGUUCCGUGCGCUCUUACCCUUCGUCAUCGGCUACUGCGUCCCGUCCAUCUACGUGCUGAUAGCAAUGGCCUACCGGCUAUGCUACGACUUCGAAGAGGUCGUAUACACAGACGAAGGCGUGACCAACGUGUUCACGAGCAUAAGUCGAGUGACAGCGACGCCGCCCUGGUCAGUGGGCUGGGUCGCAGCCACGGUCGUUCAUCUGGCCUGCAUCGUGUGGAUCAACAGCGACUUCGCGUACUUCUGGUACGCCCGUGAAACGCUGCUGCCGCAGGGAGAGCGAGACGUGUACCGCAGCGCGGUGCAGUUCGCGCGCCACCUGCAGUGGCAGGGUGCGGUCGCGCUCGUGCUGAUUUCCACCGUGCCAGUUAAUUACUCACUGACGCUGCAUUUCACGUUCGUGACGACGUACUUCGUCGCCGACGUCCUCUAUCUUCGCACCGUGGACGACUUGGAAGCGGAACUCUUGGCAUGCUGCAAGGACUCCAUGGUAUCCUCCUUGUACUUUCAUCACCGCGCAGCUAACAACGUGAUGAAGGUAAUGACUGUGUGCAUCCUGCUGAACUUGGUGGCCUUCUACGUUGCGACGCUCUCAUACGCUCAUUCAGUGUUUGGUGUCUUCGAGCUCAUCUAUGGAAGCUGCCGUGGAUGGCACGACUUGGUUACCAGCGUGCUAAUUAUAAGGCAAGCCUACCUGGACCGUGCUGAGUGCCGGCGCACGAUACACGCGUAAAGCACGCGCUCCGGCACUGCCCGCCGUUGCUGUCCCCAGCACCGGCCCACGCGGGGCGCUUCACCUGACUCUCGCGACCGUCUUCGAUGGAUUCGACUUGACACGCAAAUGGCUCGAUUCACCGAGGUUUGACCAAUUGCCUCAUAAAAGCCCUCAACGAACACGGUCGUUGCGUAGAACUCCGGUUCCAGUCUACACCAGGUGUCGCAGCCCCAUCAGCACUUCAAGAAGAGCUGACAGCAGCUGAUAAAUUCUUACAAGCUGGGCGACCGCAUUACCCCAUCGUUCAGCCUAAUUAUUUGAAAGUUGGAAGGCGUUCGAAGAGCAACCUUUCGAUGAUACUUUGCCUCUGGUAGCAUCUUCAAGAUUUACUCGAUCAAUGCCUGUUCAUCGGCUUUUACUAUAAAAACAAAGACGUUUUUUUAUUCGACGGUAUUGUUGUACUGUUAACAUGUC